rnacentral:rRNA from 1 species
AGAGUUUGAUUAUGGCUCAGGAUGAACGCUAGCUACAGGCUUAACACAUGCAAGUCGAGGGUAGCAGGGUAGCAAUACCGCUGACGACCGGCGCACGGGUGAGUAACACGUAUCCAACCUUCCCAUAACUCAGGGAUAGCCUUUCGAAAGAAAGAUUAAUACCUGAUAGUACUUUUUCAAGGCAUCUUGAAAAAAGUUAAAGAUUUAUUGGUUAUGGAUGGGGAUGCGUUCCAUUAGAUAGUUGGUGAGGUAACGGCUCACCAAGUCUUCGAUGGAUAGGGGUUCUGAGAGGAAGGUCCCCCACAUUGGUACUGAGACACGGACCAAACUCCUACGGGAGGCAGCAGUGAGGAAUAUUGGUCAAUGGGCGAGAGCCUGAACCAGCCAAGUAGCGUGAAAGGAUGAAGGUCCUAUGGAUUGUAAACUUCUUUUAUAGUAGAAUAAAGUGAGCCACGUGUGGUUUUUUGUAUGUAUACUAUGAAUAAGGAUCGGCUAACUCCGUGCCAGCCGCCGC